rnacentral:rRNA from 1 species
AUUGAACGCUGGCGGCAGGCCUAACACAUGCAAGUCGGGCGAGAGGCGGACGGGUGAGUAAUGUAUGGGGAUCUGCCUGAUGGAGGGGGAUAACUACUGGAAACGGUAGCUAAUACCGCAUACCAUCAGAUGAACCCAUUUGGGAUUAGCUAGUAGGGGAGGUAACGGCGCACCUAGGCGACGAUCCCUAGCUGGUCUGAGAGGAUGAUCAGCCACACUGGGACUGAGACACGGCCCAGACUCCUACGGGAGGCAGCAGUGGGGAAUAUUGCACAAUGGGCGCAAGCCUGAUGCAGCCAUGCCGCGUGUAUGAAGAAGGCCUUCGGGUUGUAAAGUACUUUCAGUCGGGAGGCGUUACCGACAGAAGAAGCACCGGCUAACUCCGUGCCAGCAGCCGCGGUAAUAC